rnacentral:tRNA from 2 species
CGGUAGCUCAGUGGUAGAGCAACCGGCUGUUAACCGGUUGGUCGCUGGUUCGAAUCCGGCCCGGGGAGCCA